rnacentral:misc_RNA from 1 species
UGUCCGUAGGUGAACCUGCGGAAGGAUCAUUAACGUACAGCAUGUGAGGCGAAUCCGAGGGCUGUCGCUGACCCAAAAGUCGGGUACGCCCCAGUGUGUCCUCUUCCCUAACCGUCCAUCUCACCCUUUGUGCCUCCCCGCGUUAGCACCCUUCGGGAUCAUCUCGGAGGGUGGUUCGCGUUUUAACUCCAACCCUCCUCUAAAAAGUGCAGAAGGACCACAUUUAUGCAAUCAAUACAACUUUCAACAACGGAUCUCUUGGUUCUC